AUCAUGUCACUACCUUCAAUGAGGUUCUGGCUUCGAUCUGAACGUUAGUCACCGCCGCUCAUUUCCUUACCGCCUUUAUUUAUCACCUAGCCGACGCAAGCAAUGCUGUUGUUGCUGCCUUUGGUGAGCCUCUGUGAUUUGGUUUUGCCUUCAUCUUCUUUUGAUUUUUCUUUCCUCUUCAUACUUUUAGAUCUAGUUCAUGCUCUAGUAGGAAGAAACAAAGAAUGCUUGUUCUUUUUUCUUAUUGUGUAUUUUUACUUUGAUUGAUCUUCUGCGUUGUUGUUCUUAUUGACGAGGGUGCUAGAGGUGGUGGAAUUUUACCACAUGUUGAUGAAGAGAGAACCAUCGCAACCACCUCGACGCGAAUGCAGCUCUAACGAAAUCGUGGAGGCAGUGCUGGCUCCGGCAAAUGCACGAAAUCGUGAUGUGGGAAGAUCUAAUCAGAAGGCAAAAUGGUUGUUGAGUCGCAGAGAGACAGUUAAGUGUUUCGAUGGUGUUGGGCGUAACCGCCUUUCCCUUCACAUACGUGGUUCACGUCCUUAGUCUGGUUGCCAUCACCUCCUCGUCCUUGUUUCCCUACUACUUUUAUAAUGUUUAAUUUAAUUUAAUUUAUAUUUUUUAGUUGUAUAUAGAGGAUUUCCUGUGUGGCUGAAGUAUAUUUUAGGAAUAAGCUUCAGAACAGACAAUGAAUCUUUCAAGAGAGCAAUGCAAGGAUUUACUAGAAGAUUGUAGGAUUGAUGAAGAGUGAGGGUCUCUUGGCUGGAAUUGGUCAAUCACGUAAGUUUUCC